rnacentral:rRNA from 1 species
UACGUAGGUGACGAGCGUUAUCCGGAUUUAUUGGGCGUAAAGCGCACGCAGGCGGCAGAGAAAGUCUGACGUGAAAUCUCCCGGCUUAACUGGGAGCGGUCGUUGGAAACUACUUGGCUUGAGGCGAUGAGAGGGGUGUGGAAUUCCCGGUGUAGUGGUGGAAUGCGUAGAUAUCGGGGGGGAACAUCAGUGGCGAAAGCGGCACCCUGGCAUUAGCCUGACGCUCAUGUGCGAAAGCGUGGGGAGCGAACGGG